rnacentral:lncRNA from 1 species
AUGGAGGAAAGGUGGGGGUUGGAGGCAGGAGAACAAUCCCACCCCCUGACAUCAAUUUUGUGCUGGCACAUAAGUAGCUGGGAAUCAUUGCAGCAGGUAAGUUGCAGAACCCUGACACACUCAGGGAUGAUUGAUAGUUUUUUCCUGUUAAUAUCAUGGAAUGGGUUUGUCAUGGGGAAGUGGAAGACUGGCAGUGGGUUGUACUUGGCAUUAUGAAACAUCAAUGCUUGUUUGCCACAGGUUGUUGAGUGGCACUAUCAUUGUAUGGAACAAACACACCGAUUUUAUGGAAUGCAGUAUGGAUGUGAACUUGAAGACUAUUCUAACAGUGGAAUACUGUAUAUGUAUAACUGUAAAACAUUAAUAGUUGGAUCUCAAUUUAGUCAUGAUAUUUUGAAUAGAUAUUGAAAACAAUUACAGUAAAAGUAUGACUAAGUUUACAAUUCAACCUGUUACACAUAAUUAGCAAAUAUAAAUUUGUUUAGAUUCUCUUACAAAUAUUUGUGCAUAUUUGUUUUUGUAUUUAGCAUUGUGUAGUACAAAGGGAUGUCAAAACUGCCCCCAGGCAACUUCUUUUUCGUCUUCCUCCUUUUGCUUUAAAAGUGAUUUCACUAACAGAACAGAAUAUGAAUACCCCGCUGAGCCAAAUAGGAAGAAUUAUGUGUAUUCAUACAUAGUUAAAUCCCCAGAGCAGUUUGAGUUUUUUUAAAAAUGCUGUGACUAAUAAAGUCAAAAGCCACCCUCACAAUAGUGACUGGCAAUAAAAAAACCCCUAAUUAAUCAUCAUCAUCAAGAAAAGGGGCAUAUUUUGGAGGCUGGUGAUUCAUCUUAAAUAUAUUGGGUUCCAUUCAGUCUGGUAAACUGGAUGACCUUUCAUGCCACAGGAUGUCUCCUUUUCUACUCUUCUAAGUAACUUCCUCUGCCUAUCCCAGAACUGCUCAGGAGAGUCCUUUAGUCGAGCAGAUUUGAAGUGUUCAUGGGAGCCAUGUUGAAAUAGUAUCCCAAAACUGUGGUAUCCAUUUGGCUGAUGGAGGAACACAAUUGGAUAUAAGCCAUUCACUUGAAAGUAACCUCCUUUGAUUUAAUGGAACAUGUAAGCAACUAUGCUUAGGAUCACAGGCUAAGUGGCAAUGGCAAGUCAUGACUGAUUAUUCAACUGAGGAUUAAUCUUGCCAAUCAGAGUAAAGUACUUUUGGAUUCUUUCAAAACUCCCUCAUGCUUUGUGAGUCAGAAAAUGAAUACGUGACAAACUCAUUUACUGACACUGUCAUUCAUCUAAAAGUCUGCAUGACCAUUCUCUCCUUCAAAGCGACUGAACUCCCUGCAGCAUCUAAACCAGAACAAACAGCUUUGCUAGGCAAUCUAAAAAUAUCUUGACAAGUUCAACCAUCCUAGUUUAAACCUUUGAGCACUUGCCACAUUAACGCAUCCUGCUUCUGUGAAUUUUGCUGCAGUGCACUAGGUCAUAUGUUUGCAUAUCCCCAAACCAGGCAAGUUGCUGUGGAUUUAUGGUCCUAAAAUUCAAGUUCUGAACUCAAUGUAUCAAUAACUAUAUGGAAGGAUAGUGAUUAUGCCCUACCGACGAUAGUGGUUCUUCUGCAGAACUGGACUAUUUCAAUGGGUCAGUAGGGUAAAUAAUGUAAGAUGAAUACUAUAUUCA